rnacentral:rRNA from 1 species
UUGGCCUUGACAUACUAAGAACUUUCCAGAGAUGGAUUGGUGCCUUCGGGAACUUAGAUACAGGUGCUGCAUGGCUGUCGUCAGCUCGUGUCGUGAGAUGUUGGUUAAGUCCGCAACGAGCGCAACCCUUUUCCUUAUUUGCCAGCGGGUCAUGCCGGGAACUUUAAGGAUACUGCCAGUGACAAACUGGAGGAAGGCGGGGACGACGUCAAGUCAUCAUGGCCCUUACGGCCAGGGCUACACACGUGCUACAAUGGUCGGUACAAAGGGUUGCUACCUCGCGAGAGGAUGCUAAUCUCAAAAAGCCGAUCGUAGUCCGGAUCGCAGUCUGCAACUCGACUGCGUGAAGUCGGAAUCGCUAGUAAUCGCGGAUCAGAAUGCCGCGGUGAAUACGUUCCCGGGCCUUGUACACACCGCCCGUCACACCAUGGGAGUUUGUUGCACCAGAAGUAGGUAGUCUAACCGCAAGGAGGACGCUUACCACGGUGUGGCCGAUGACUGGGGUGAAGUCGUAACAAGGUAGGCGUACUACA